rnacentral:tRNA from 1 species
GUGAGCGUAGCUCAGUUGGUAGAGCGCCGGAUUGUGGUUCCGGUGGUCGGGGGUUCAAAUCCCCUCGCUCACC